CAGUCGCCACGGGAAUACGUAGGGUGCGAGCGUUAAUCGGAAUUACUGGGCGUAAAGCGUGCGCAGGCGGUGAUGUAAGACAGAUGUGAAAUCCCCGGGCUCAACCUGGGAACUGCAUUAGUGACUGCAUCGCUGGAGUGCGGCAGAGGGGGAUGGAAUUCCGCGCGUAGCAGUGAAAUGCGUAGAUAUGCGGAGGAACACCGAUGGCGAAGGCAAUCCCCUGGGCCUGCACUGACGCUCAUGCACGAAAGCGUGGGGAGCAAACAGGAUUAGAUACCCCAGUAGUCCCUGUCUCUUAUAC
rnacentral:rRNA from 1 species